rnacentral:piRNA from 1 species
CCUUCUCAGCUGAGAAGGCAGCCACGUC